GUCAGCGCCAAAAUCGAAUAACCAAAAACAGCAAACGCAAAAGGAAAACCAAAAAAGAAACCCAAAAAGAGAGAGAAAGCAACACAAACAAAAAAAAUAGUAGCCGAAAUCGAGGCAGAAGAAAUGGCAGGCAAAACGAAAGCGAAUGUCUGACAAAAAAUAUGCACAGCAUCCUUGACGUUUGUUCGCUCGUUGACGCCCAGGCUGCUGCUGUCCUCCCUCUUGCCCUGGAGCCUACCCCUGGGGUUGGCUGCAACAUUGGGGAUCCCAGGCAACAGAUCCGCUAGCUGCUGACGCGCUCCGACGACCAUGGUCGAGAUGUGUUCAUGUCUAAUGUCGAAAUGGUUAGUUUCACUUUUUGCGUCAGAAAUCGUAAAAUUGGAUAUAAAAUUUUACGAGCGUGUGGCUGGGCCUCGUCUCGAGUGUUCUCUGUGGGCUCUUCUAACAUUUUUUUCACCCGCUGAAGCUGAAUUUGGAGUUGGAGUUGGAGUUGGAGUUGGCAUUGGAGCUGGCGUUGACGUUGGCCAUUGGCCGUUCUGCUCAGGCAGCUCCCCACACGCUUUUCGCACAAAUUUGUCCUGGCAAAUGGCCGCCUGUUUCUGGUCACGGUCCAACAUUUUGAUGGCAGCUGAAGUGGCAGCAGCCAAGACGACACAAAACGAGGCAGGCAACGGCAACGGCGACGGCGUCAUUUUUGUUUUGUGGCAAUAAAUCAUUUAUGUAAGUUGCUCUGGC
rnacentral:lncRNA from 1 species